GCUCAUUUAGGAAGCACAUACUAAAAUUGGAAUGAUACAGAGAAGGUUAGCAUGGCCCCUGUGCAAGGAUGACAAAGUUAAUAUGAUGGCUAGUUGAUAUAACU